CCUACGGGCGGCUGCAGUGAGGCAUAUUGGUCAAUGGCCGAGAGGCUGAACCAGCCAAGUCGCGUGCGGGAAGAAUGUCCUAUGGAUUGUAAACCUCUUUUGUCAGGGAGCAAAGUCACCCACGUGUGGGUGUUGGAGAGUACCUGAAGAAAAAGCAUCGGCUAACUCCGUGCCAGCAGCCGCGGUAAUGCGGAGGAUGCGAGCGUUCUCCGGAGUUAUUGGGGUUAAAGGGUGCGUAGGCGGGUUUUCAAGUCAGCGGUAAAAUCGUGGAGCGCAACUCCAUCCAGCCGUUGACACUGAUGAGCUUGAGUGGGCGAGAAGUAUGCGGAAUGCGUGGUGUAGCGGUGAAAUGCAUAG
rnacentral:rRNA from 1 species